GACGAACGCUGGCGGCGUGCCUAAUACAUGCAAGUAGAACGCUGAAGGAGGAGCUUGCUUCUCUGGAUGAGUUGCGAACGGGUGAGUAACGCGUAGGUAACCUGCCUGGUAGCGGGGGAUAACUAUUGGAAACGAUAGCUAAUACCGCAUAAUAGUAGAUGUUGCAUGACAUUUGCUUAAAAGGUGCAAUUGCAUCACUACCAGAUGGACCUGCGUUGUAUUAGCUAGUUGGUGAGGUAACGGCUCACCAAGGCGACGAUACAUAGCCGACCUGAGAGGGUGAUCGGCCACACUGGGACUGAGACACGACCCAGACUCCUACGGGAGGCAGCAGUAGGGAAUCUUCGGCAAUGGACGGAAGUCUGACCGAGCAACGCCGCGUGAGUGAAGAAGGGUUUCGGAUCGUAAAGCUCUGUUGUAAGAGAAGAACGAGUGUGAGAGUGGAAAGUUCACACUGUGACGGUAUCUUACCAGAAAGGGACGGCUAACUACGUG
rnacentral:rRNA from 1 species